rnacentral:rRNA from 1 species
UACGUAGGGUGCGAGCGUUGUCCGGAAUUAUUGGGCGUAAAGGGCUCGUAGGCGGUUUGUCGCGUCGGGAGUGAAAACCUUGGGCUUAACUCAGGGCUUGCUUUCGAUACGGGCAGACUAGAGGUAUGCAGGGGAGAACGGAAUUCCUGGUGUAGCGGUGAAAUGCGCAGAUAUCAGGAGGAACACCGGUGGCGAAGGCGGGUCUCUGGACAGUUCCUGACACUGAGACACGAAGGCCAGGGGAGCAAACGGG